GCCCUCGUGGUGUAACGGCUAACAUAUCACUGUUUGAUUCGUCUAUUUUCCCAUUUACGGUGAUGAACUCGGUUCGACUCCGAGCGGGGGUA